rnacentral:ncRNA from 2 species
GGUCACGAGUAUCAGCGCACAGCCCCGGCUUGCUGAUCGGCAACCCUCCACCGCGGCGGGGUGCUCCGGGUGAUGACCUGGCCGGCUGGAACCCUCAGUCGGCAAGCGCGGACC